rnacentral:rRNA from 1 species
UACGGAGGGUGCAAGCAUUAAUCGGAUUUAUUGGGCGUAAAGGGCGCGUAGGCGGAUUAGUAAGUCGAAUGUGAAAUACCAAAGCUCAACUUUGGGGCUGCAUUUGAAACUACUAGACUCGAGGAUUGGCGGAGAAAAUGGAAUUCCACGUGUAGCGGUGAAAUGCGUAGAUAUCAGGAGGAACACCGAUGGCGAAGGCAGUUCUCUGGGCCGUAACUGACGCUGAGGAGCGAAAGCGUGGGGAGCGAACAGG